AUCGCUUAUCGGCCUUUUGGCUAAGAUCAAGUGUAGUUACCUGUUCUUAUCAGUUUAUAUUAAAAUAUAAUAAAAAUUGUGUACCAAACUGCUU
ensembl:snRNA U2 U2 spliceosomal RNA